CACCUCUUGACAUAACAUAAGAGGCCCAGCCUGCCCGGUGACAAAGUUUAACGGCUACGGUACCCUGACCGUACGAAGGUAGCAUAAUCACUUGUUCCUUAAAUAGGGACUCGUAUCAACGGCAUCACGAGGGCUGCACUGUCUCCUCUCUUCAAUCAGUGAAACUGAUCCUCCCGUGAAGAAGCGGGAAUUUAAUUAUAAGACGAGAAGACCCCAUGGAGCUUUAAACAACGUACUCACACUAUACAUAUAUACCCAUUAACUAAAAGCCCUGAGUACAAGUUUUAGGUUGGGGAGACCGCGGAGAACAACUAAACCUCCACGACAGACGGCCCAAGCCCUUAUCCACGAGCUACAACUCUAAGAAUCAGCACACUGAUGAUUAUGACCCGAUACCAUUCGACUAACGAACCAAGUUACCCUGGGGAUAACAGCGCAAUCUACUUCAAGAGCCCAUAUCGACAAGUAGGUUUACGACCUCGAUGUUGGAUCAGGGUAUCCCUGUGGUGCAGCAGCUACUAACGGUUCGUUUGUUCAACGAUUAAAACCCU
rnacentral:rRNA from 1 species